rnacentral:rRNA from 1 species
AUUGAACGCUGGCGGCAGGCCUAACACAUGCAAGUCGAACGAGUGGCGGACGGGUGAGUAAUGUCUGCGAAACUGCCCGAUGGGGGGGGAUAACUACUGGAAACGGUAGCUAAUACCGCAUACCCUUGGAUGUGCCCAGAUGGGAGUGGUUUGUAGGUGAGGUAACGGCUCACCUAGGCGACGAUCCCUAGCUGGGCUGAGAGGAUGACCAGCACAGCUGAAACAGAGACACGGUCAAGACUCCUACGGGAGGCAGCGGUGGGGAAUAGGGCCAGAUUGGCGCAAGCCCGAUACAGCCAUGCCGCGUGUAUGAAGAAGGCCUUCGGGUUUUAAAGUACUUUCAGCGGGGAGGCGUUACCCGCAGAAGAAGCACCGGCUAACUCCGUGCCAGCAGCCGCGGUAAUAC